UACGAAGGGUGCAAGCGUUACUCGGAAUCACUGGGCGUAAAGGGUGCGUAGGCGGGUCUUUUAAGUCAGGGGUGAAAUCCUGGAGCUCAACUCCAGAACUGCCUUUGAUACUGAGGAUCUUGAGUUCGGGAGAGGUGAGUGGAACUGCGAGUGUAGAGGUGAAAUUCGUAGAUAUUCGCAAGAACACCGAGUGGCAGAAGG
rnacentral:rRNA from 1 species